CCUGAUGCAGCAACGCCGCGUGCGGGAUGACGGCCUUCGGGUUGUAAACCGCUUUUAGUAGGGAAGAAGGGCUUCGGCUUGACGGUACCUGCAGAAAAAGGACCGGCUAACUACGUGCCAGCAGCCGCGGUAAUACGUAGGGUCCGAGCGUUGUCCGGAAUUAUUGGGCGUAAAGAGCUCGUAGGCGGUUUGUCGCGUCUGCUGUGAAAUCUGGAGGCUCAACCUCCAGCCUGCAGUGGGUACGGGCAGACUAGAGUGCGGUAGGGGAGAAUGGAAUUCCUGGUGUAGCGGUGGAAUGCGCAGAUAUCAGGAGGAACACCGAUGGCGAAGGCAGUUCUCUGGGCCGUAACUGACGCUGAGGAGCGAAAGCGUGGGGAGCGAACAGGAUUAGAUACCCUGGUAGUCCACGCCGUAAACGUUGGGCGCUAGAUGUGGGGACCUUUCCACGGUUUCCGUGUCGUAGCUAACGCAUUAAGCGCCCCGCCUGGGGAGUACGGCCGCAAGGCUAAAACUCAAAGGAAUUGACGGGGGCCCGCACAAGCGGCGGAGCAUGCGGAUUAAUUCGAUGCAACGCGAAGAACCUUACCAAGGCUUGACAUAACCGAGAACGCCCUAGAAAUAGGGAACUCUUUG
rnacentral:rRNA from 1 species